UAUUCUCUGUUCUAUCCGAAAAGCGUGACAUCUUCUCGCUCGCUCCCAUCGGGUACCCGUUGUUACGCGCAGACUUCAACACCGCGAAAAAAAUCGUCGAAAUUAUCGGAAGGAGUGAACGUCCCUCACCUUUCACCCGCUUUUCGCGUAACCUGGUUUUCCCCUGUCUAAACGAUUUUUAACCUUUAGAAGGCGAGACAUAGCCAGAGGAAAUCUUUGGGAAUAUGCCGAGAUCAAAAAACACUUAGAAGGCAACACACCUCCUGCGACCAUAUUCUCUGAGGUAGAUGCCAAACGAUGGCCGACUGAAUACGACAAAGUAAAAACUGGCAUCUUUGGAGACACGCUCGUCAUCUCCGAAUGCUUAGUCGAAUGUCCUGCGAACCUUAUUUUUGUCUCUCAAAAACGGUUAUUGACUACAGUACACAUUCUACCCAUAAGGUCGUUGCUGUCUUCUCAAAAAAUUUUAUUCUAUCUAACCUCAUCUCCCUUCUCUGCGACGCCGCGAAAUUCCAUAUACAACGGCGGCAUUCCCAGACUCAAGUGAACAGCUGGCUAGAACCAGUUCGAGCGAAGUAUCCAGAACUGGCCGCCUUCGACAUCACCCUCACUUAUAAUUGGGGAUAUAAACUCCUCACACCCCUAGCUUCUAGUACGUGGGAGCAGAAGUCAGAUGUGCACACCAAAUACGGCUACAUCUAUUUCCCGAAAAAGCCUACCGAACUGGUUGGAAUUGACAUGGAGAACAGCCUGGCCAAUUACCAGCUUCUUGUCGAUCACUGCCUUCGUAUCCGUUGGUUCUCCUUCGGUAAGGCGAAUGACCAGGAAUUGGAGCGCAUGUUUGGACUGAUCGAAAACCUGUCAAAAACCGGCGGCACUCAAAAACUCACGAAUUCUACGGAUAGGUUUCUCGAGGGAGAACCCACACGUACUUAAACCACUCGGAUUCACCCUAGUGUCCGAGUCGUGCGUCUGACGUUCCGUCCUCUUGAGAGCUUGUACCUCUGACUUCUUGGUCUCUGGCGCUGUUGGAGCCAUUAAAGACGGGCCUACUCGCUCUCAUUCGAGUUUGCUUUCCCGGUAUCGGGCUUCUUGAUCUUGACGUUUUCUACGCAUCAGCUGAUCUUAAGAUAGGUGCUCUUUUUUUUUUUUGACAUGUUGCGCCUACUGCAGCAGAGAUGUCACGUAUGACCUGCAGCCUGUUAUCCGCCCUGCAGCGGAUCUUCAGUAAGAAGUAUUUUCGUUCAUCAAUAAAUCUCUUGUUGGGCUUUCAGCACGUCCCUAUCUGCACCUUA